AGACGGAACAGACACUAAACGCUGUUGCUGAGCUCGAAACUCCUGACUGUGCAGUCGUUGAGCCCAACGUUGAAAAGAGAGUAUGUGUCUUUGCUUUGUAGGUUUGAGACUCUGUGUCACACAAACCUCAUCCAGCUGUGUCUAUGACCACACUUCUAAAACUGUUCUCUAACUAUAAUUCUUGACAUCAUGACACAUCUAUAUAUCCAGAUUUAACUUGUGCAAAACAAGAAAGACACCAGUUCAUUGUUGAUAUGCAUUAUGAUACAUACCAAAUAG
rnacentral:misc_RNA from 1 species